AUGGCGACGCCCAGUGAGCUGUCUCUCGAGGAGAUUCGCAACUACCUGCUGGAAAACGGGGGCACGGCGCGCAAUCACGACCUGGUGAAGCAUUUCAAGCGGUUUCUCACGGACCCGGAAACGCGAGUCGAGGCAAGGAAUCGUUUCAAGGAGUACGUCAACACCCUGGCUACCAUAAAGAACGAGGAGGGUGAAAAGUACUUGGUCCUCAAGAAGAAAUACCGGCAGCCCUUCUUAGACCUUUCGCCCCCGAAGCAAGUGGGAUCCCCCCUCGCCACCUCCGAUUUAGCCACUCCAGUUUCUCCUUUACGCGAGCCACCACCUUACCGGCCGCCACCCCCCGCGCCCCUCAGCCCGUCCUCGAGUAUUUCUUCGGGUAAUUCUCACGUGAACCUCGAAGAGAGCGCGUCGUCGAUUUCUAUACGCGUGAAAAAUGACGAUUUGGAGUCCAGCGCGUCGGCGGUGUCGUCGCCGCCUGUUCCGCCGCGUCGCAAGAGUCAGGACAAACUCAAGGUGGAGAACAAGGAGAACGUCGACAGAAACAGGAACGGCAUCCCGGAAGCUGUCAUAAAGGAAGACGAAGCGGUAACGACGACAAAUGCUCCCUCCUCGGCUGAGCAACUCAGCGUUCGUGAACGGAUGCAACGCUUCAAUCGAAUGGCCAGCGAGACCGAUCUUCAUGCGCGGCCUAACGACACCACGACUGUUCCUCUUAGAAAACGAGCGGAUAAGGGCGCCGACGAGGAUGACAGCGCUUCCGUUGCCUCGCAACUGGAUGGAAAAUCGCGGGAGUGGCUGGUCAGGGCGGCACAGGGGGACUACCAGGCGCUGGCGAAGCUCGCAGCCGAGGAACCUCGUCUCACCAGGCUCAAGGAUCCGACUUCCGGCUAUACGGCUUUACACUGGGGCGCGAAACACGGCGACGAAAACAUCAUUAAAUUAAUAGCGGGUACCUACAAAGACUGCAUCAAGAGCGUCAAUGAGACUACGAAUGGGGGCUACACGCCGCUGCAUAUCGCUAUGCAAUUCGGCCACGAAAACAUAUUCAAUCUCCUGGUUCAAGUAUACGGUGCAAAUCAGGAUUUACGUGAUCACAGCGGUAGGAAGGCCAGGCAAUACCUGGCCUCACAAGAGGCGGCAGUCAGCCAGGACACGUUCCACAGGAUUACUGCUGCCGCUACGCUCAGAAAUAAAAGCAAGGAAAAAGCAUGCAGAGAAAGAUCUUGGUUUCCUACGAAUUGGCUCAUUGAACGUUCGCGUGAAACGUACGACGGAAGCUUUCAGCCAAUUCUUGGGUGUGGCAACCAGCAGCACCACUAGCAACAACAACGAGAAGAUACAUAAAUCAUGGGGAUCUGCAGAUAACGUUCAGCUGGAACAGAAGCUGAUGCCACCGCCGAAGUAUGCGCCCAUCAAGAAACGUAAGAGCAGGCGGCCGCAGGACUUCAGUUCGUCGCAGGAGCAGCAGCAGGUUGCCAGUCAGCCGACUACUCCGUUGCUGCAGAGCAA
rnacentral:misc_RNA from 1 species